rnacentral:lncRNA from 1 species
GGGGGGGGGGGGGGGGGGGGGGGGGGGGGGGGGGGGGGGGGGGGGGGGGGGGGGGGGGGGGGGGGGGGGGGGGGGGGGGGGGGGGGGGGGGGGGGCACACACCUGGGACAGGUGAGGAGUUUUGGGGUCACACCUGCACAGGUGAGGAGUUUUGGGGCACACACCUGGGACAGGUGAGGAGCUUUGGGGUCACACCUGGGACAGGUGAGGAGUUUUGGGGCACACACCUGCACAGGUGAGGAGUUUUGGGGGCACACAGUUUUGGGGAUGAUGUCCCUUGCAGGGUGGCCUUUAGGACAGGGGACAGUGGCAGGCAGGAGCAGCAGUUGUCCCCACUGUGACCACCCCCCGUGUGUGUCCCCACCCCAAAUGCUGCCUGUCCCCACCCCUGCGUGCCAAGGGGUGUCCCCCACUUUGACUGUCACCCCAGUGUCCCCUUCACCCCUUUUGGGGCACCCCAAGCUCCGGGGUGGCACUGACCCCCCCUCUGUCCACAGCUCUGAGCCACCUGAGGACCUUCCAGGUCCUGUCCGGGCUGUUCGUGGCCAUCGUGGCCGUGGCCAUCGUGGCCCUGCUGGCCAUGAAGGUGUGGCCCAGGGUCAGGAAAUCCCAGAGCUGGUCCCGUGCCGAGGACACCCUGGAGCUGAGGAGCAAACCGGACCUGUCACAGGUGGGGACAUCGGGGGGUCGCCACAGCCGUGGCUGUCACUGUCACAGGGACGGGAGCCUGGUGGGGACCCAAAAUCCCCGUCCCAGCCUCAUCCCAGAGGGGCUCCAUGGGUGCCAGCCCCUCCAGGGCUGCUGGGGAUCAUCCUCUGUCCCCGUGGAAUGUCGCCAGCCGAGGACGAGGUGUCCCCAACCUUUUCCAGAUGGAUGGAGCAUCUUGACCUGGUGGCUCUCGGAUCCCGUUCCAGCUGUGGCCGCUGGAAUUUCCCGGUCCUGGCUGGAUCCAGGGACUCCUCUGGGGAUCCCCCCGCUCCUUCCCGAUGGGUUCUUGUCACCUCCUCUUGUCACCGGUGACAGCUCCGGGCUGGGAAAAUCCCGGAAAAAUAAUAAAAUGAAACCUGGGGACAUCCUGUUUGUCACCACCGUGCUCCUGUCCCUUUUUCCCUGCCGUCCAUCCUGGUGUCCCCUUGGAGAGGGGGACACAUGUGUCCCCAAGCCACCCGUGUCCCCUGGGUGCCUGGGAUGAGGGGAGCUGGGGUUGGGGGCUCUGCUUGCUGGUGGCAGCUGCGCCGUGUCCCCUCUGGCCGUGUCCCCUCUGGCCGUGUCCCUGCUGCCAUUAGAGGUCACUCUGCAGCCACUCGGCCACCAGACACGGCCUCGGGGAUGGGAUCGUGGG